UUUAAUUAUCCAAUUUUUGCG
rnacentral:piRNA from 1 species